GAUGAACGCUAGCGAUAGGCUUAACACAUGCAAGUCGAGGGGCAGCAUGGUCUUAGCUUGCUAAGACUGAUGGCGACCGGCGCACGGGUGCGUAACGCGUAUGCAACUUGCCUCACAGAGGGGGAUAACCCGUCGAAAGACGGACUAAUACCGCGUACACUUGGGAUAGGGCAUCCUGACCCAAGGAAAUGAAAUUCGCUGUGAGGUAAGCAUGCGUCCCAUUAGCUAGUUGGUGAGGUAACGGCUCACCAAGGCGACGAUGGGUAGGGGAACUGAGAGGGUGAACCCCCACACUGGUACUGAGACACGGACCAGACUCCUACGGGAGGCAGCAGUGAGGAAUAUUGGUCAAUGGGCGAGAGCCUGAACCAGCCAAGUCGCGUGAAGGAUGACUGUCUUAUGGAUUGUAAACUUCUUUUAUACGGGAAUAACAAGAGCCACGUGUGGCUCCCUGCAUGUACCGUAUGAAUAAGCAUCGGCUAACUCCGUG
rnacentral:rRNA from 1 species